CCAACAAGCUAGUUGCCCAACACAAUGCGUCUGCAAUUCUCCAGGUGCAACUAACACUAGGUAAGACUGCAAUCCAAAUUGUAGCUUGCUACAGAUCCCCCACCAUACCCCAAGAUUCUCACUAAACCUUUCUAAACAUACUAGAAAAUAU